UACGUAGGGGGCAAGCGUUGCUCGGAAUCACUGGGCGUAAAGGGUGCGUAGGCGGGUCUUUAAGUCAGGGGUGAAAUCCUGGAGCUCAACUCCAGAACUGCCUUUGAUACUGAGGAUCUUGAGUUCGGGAGAGGUGAGUGGAACUGCGAGUGUAGAGGUGAAAUUCGUAGAUAUUCGCAAGAACACCAGUGGCGAAGGCGGCUCACUGGCCCGGUACUGACGCUGAGGUGCGAAAGCGUGGGGAGCAAACAGG
rnacentral:rRNA from 1 species